AGUUUUGCGUAGUGGCAGUAUCAAAGCCAAUGAGGUUUAUCUGAGGCAUGAUUAUUACUAAUUGAGAGUCUUUCUCUUUCUCUCUCACACAC
rnacentral:snRNA from 1 species